AUUGAACGCUGGCGGUAGGCCUAACACAUGCAAGUCGAACGGCAGCACAGUAAGAGCUUGCUCUUACGGGUGGCGAGUGGCGGACGGGUGAGGAAUACAUCGGAAUCUACUUUUUCGUGGGGGAUAACGUAGGGAAACUUACGCUAAUACCGCAUACGACCUACGGGUGAAAGCAGGGGAUCUUCGGACCUUGCGCGAUUGAAUGAGCCGAUGUCGGAUUAGCUAGUUGGCGGGGUAAAGGCCCACCAAGGCGACGAUCCGUAGCUGGUCUGAGAGGAUGAUCAGCCACACUGGAACUGAGACACGGUCCAGACUCCUACGGGAGGCAGCAGUGGGGAAUAUUGGACAAUGGGCGCAAGCCUGAUCCAGCCAUACCGCGUGGGUGAAGAAGGCCUUCGGGUUGUAAAGCCCUUUUGUUGGGAAAGAAAAGCAGCAGGUUAAUACCCCGCUGUUAUGACGGUACCCAAAGAAUAAGCACCGGCUAACUUCGUG
rnacentral:rRNA from 1 species